AUUGAACGCUGGCGGCAGGCCUAACACCUGCAAGUCGCACGAGUGGCGGACGGGUGAGUAAUGUCUGGGAAACUGCCUGAUGGAGGGGGAUAACUACUGGAAACGGUAGCUAAUACCGCAUACCAUCGGAUGUGCCCAGAUGGGAUUAGCUAGUAGGUGGGGUAACGGCUCACCUAGGCGACUAUCCCUCGAUGGUCUGAGAGGAUGACCAGCCACACGGGAACGGAGACACGGGCCAGACUACUACGGGAGGCAGCAGUGGGGAAUAUUGCACAAUGGGCGCAAGCCGGAGGCAGCCAUGCCGCGUGUGUGAAGAAGGCCUACGGUUUGUAAAGCACUUUCAGCGAGGAGGCGUUACUCGCAGAAGAAGCACCGGCUAACUCCGUGCCAGCAGCCGCGGUAAUUC
rnacentral:rRNA from 1 species